UCUCCACAUAAGCUUGCUCCGCCCCUUUUCCACCUUUCAGCUCAUCAACCAAGGGACUGGGAGCAGCUGCCACUGAGGAACAUCCGUGAGGUACAUGAGGGGGACAUCUUUGGUUGCCAGUCUUGAGGAACACCAUAUCCAUAUAUGAGGGAUGGAGGGUCCAAAUACUUAUUUUACACUUAAUAGAGCGCUAUGGAGAAAAGCUUCUUGGUCAGAAGAAGGACACUCCUGGGACACUGCACUGUGCUGGCCCAAGUAAAAUGACUCCAGUGGCAGCUCCUAAAGUGUGUGCGCUGGGGUGAUGAAAACAAAGAGGACCAGUCAAAAAUGUUUGAUUUCUUCUAUUUUUCCAAAGCUUCUGCUCUUUGUACUCGUUUAUUUUACAAGAAAUCUACAGAAAAGUAAAGUUUUUGCUUAUCCAAUUUAAUUACCUGCAACUGUUUUUGCUUUCAGCCUAACUUCAGGAAUAAAGGCAAUUUUAGCAUCAUGAAUAGUAGAUCAGUUUCCAUGUUUAAAGGACUGCCAUGGCACAGGACUUCAAUGGAUACACACAACAACAAUUAAAAAACCUAAAUAUUGGGCAGUUUUUCAAUCAGUAUACUGAGUGUCAUUGUGAUUAUAAAAAUAAAUAUACAAUUUGUGUGUACUCAGUUUCCAUAUCUUUAAAAGAUGCAUGCACAUUAUAUGUCACUCAUUCAAGUGACAUCUUCAGUCAUAUGCACAUUAUAGAUGCAUAAAUAAUAACAUUUGUUUAAAUCUAUUGCGAAGUUGGCAAAAAGGUUUGUACAACCUUGUGACAGUGUAAAGUGUAUGAAACAUAAUACUUGAUCUUGGUUUAGUCCAUCUCCUAACAAUUAAUUGCCAGCAUUCACAACCACAGACUGGUCUACUUUGUUGUUGUUUUGUCCUCUCUGAGCAAAUGUCAGGCAUAGUGUUGGCGCUCACAGCUUCAGGAUUACAGACAACUUAACAUUAACCAAACAACUACGACUCAAAUAUGAUCAAAUGAAUGAGGGCUCAUUUAGCUAUGGAAGCGUAAAAUGUUGCUCAUAAAGGUGCAUGAAAUGAUCUGAGAGAGAGAUUCCCUCUUGCCACUUUUCCAAAGUGUUGAUGCAUGUUAA